rnacentral:lncRNA from 1 species
UUUUUUUUUUUUGGUCUUGUUCUUAGUUAACUCCAGUAGUGGAGCAUUUCUUGUGUACAGAGAAGAGAAUUAGGCAUACUGUUAAAGCAAAAUAUAAAUCAAUAACAUUGUUAAUUACCUACUGUGUGUCAGGUGCUUUUCGUUUGCUCUUAUUUCAUUUAAAACAUAAACAAACAGGAGGGCCUGCUAUGGCACAGUGAGUUAAGCAGCUGGAAUGUAGGGCAAACCCCCGCCCCCAAACAAAAACAUAAGUCUGUUGUCCAUGUCCAUGAUCUGUUUUUGCUUUGCAGACUUGUGGUUGCCAAGGGGGCAUGGGGAAGGAAAUGGGAUGGACAGGGAGUUUUGGGUUGGUAGAUGCACACUAUUACAUUUAGAAUCAAUAAACAAUGAAGUCCUACUGUAUAGCACAGGGAGCUAUAUUCAAUCACUCGGGGUAGAACAUGAUGGAAGAUAGUAUGAGAAAAAGAAUAUAUGUUAGACUGGGUCACUAUGCUGUAUAAUAAAUUGACACAAUACUGUAAAUCAACUAUACUCUAAUAAAAAAAUAUAAAACAAACAAAUCUAUAGGGUGAUAUUAUUAAUCCUAUUUAACAGUUGGGUGGGAAAAGAGAGACCUUGAUUUUUAAAAUAAUUUUCUCAUUAUUGUAAAGUUGUAUAUGGUGUAGAAGACGUGUGAUACUCAGAUAAGACCAAGGGCAUCUGUGUCCUGACUGAGUGGAAUGACACUAUAUUUCAACAAAUAUUGAUAUAUAAAAUCUACUUUUUCUGAGGAAGAGCUGGACAGAAUGUAGAACUUCCAGCACUCUGGAAAGAACCUGCACCACAGCAACCACCAGAGCUACAGAAAUGAUAAUACCGAAUUCUUAGCCUGCUGAGGCACCAUGGCAUUUCUGGAAUGAAGUAUUAAUUCAGCCAAGAUCAAAGUCAUGAACUCUGUCAUGUGGUUUAGAGGUCUAUAAAAAGUUCAAUGCCAUUCUCACUCAGAAAGACAUAGCAAAACCAACGAUAUUCUAAUCAAAAAAAAAAAAAAGACAUGGCAAUAAAUGUCUCACUUCUUAUUGAACAAGUUAAUCUACAAUGGUAUGAAGGUCAUGGUCCAAACUCUUCAUGAAAAUACAAAUAUAGAAUAAAGGAGGGUGAGGGUAGGAGGAAGGAAGUUAUUGGGAAAAGGAUGAGAACAAAAGAGAAAGGGAGAAGGGGGAGAAAGAGAAUGUGGAAGAGGGAGAAGGGGAGAGAGUGAAAGUGAGAGAGAGAGAGAGAGAGAGAGAGAAGGUUAGUGAAACUUGCCCAACCAAUUUGUCCACAAGAGCUUUACCCUUAAGUUCUCAUAAUUUAUAUGAUAAAUGAGUUGACUUAAGUGGCUUGAAGGAAAAGGUACAUGAUGACAAGAUACUGGUUCAUUAUGGAGGAUAAUCAAUGACUAGGAAAAUGGCAAUUGUAUGAGAGAUCUUUGAAUAGUCCACUAAUAUUUCACACAUGUACUACAAAUCAUUUACUUAGUGUUGCUGAUAAAAUACCACUCAGUCAAAUCUUAGUGACUUGCUCAGUCCUUCUCUUUAGAGACUCAUGGGCCGUAAAAAUAGAGCUGGGCUCUGGGGCAUGUGGUUGGCUAUACUCCAUAACCAAUGAAAUUAGAGAAGCUAACUUAAUUCAUAUAGGCAUCCAAAUAAGGAUCAUAAUGACCUACUCAGUGUCAACUGACUAGACAUGUUUUUUGGGGCAAGUCAGUUUGUCAGUUUAGAAAUGAGUGAUGAUUGACUUGCUCGGGCUACAACUGUUACGGUGUCCAAAAGAUACCCACUCCUAUGUCUGCUUCCCACCAUCCUCAUCCCUCAUCAUGUUUUCUCAUUGUACAGCUUCAAUGGGUCAAUGAAAUUCCAUUCUGUUAAAUAUCUACGGGUCAUCACUCUUUAGCUGCAGCAUAAUUAAGUAAAUACAUUUAAAAAUGUACUUGAUCAUUUGAUACAGUCCCUUGAACAGCAGAACACAUGGUGCAAUGUAAGUGCAAAGGAUCAAAAAAACCAACAAACAAAAACAAAAACACUUUACAGUGAUACCAAAAAAACUGUGAUUGUCUCACUCAAAUACACUAAUGUAAAAUUUAUCAUCUUUCAAAAACAUGCAAAAGAACAAUUUCUCAUUGUCUGGCAAAGAAGUCAGAGCAUCUGAGAGAAGUAUGUAUUUGUUGAAAAUCCUUAGAUUUUUGGUUAACUUUUGGUCCACCUUGAUGCUAAGUGGUAUUGCGACUCCAAUUUUAUAUCAUAGGGAAUAUCCUUUCUUACAUGCUUCAAAACCACAAAGAAAUAAAUUUAGUUACUGCAAAUAAAGAAGUAACAUGAAGAUGAACUAUAUCAGGGGAAGGAUCAGGAGUAAGUUCUCAGUGACAAUAAAACAAAUUUUAAAAAGUAGAAAUAUAGACAUAGGUGUUGAUACUUUGAAAAUUUAAGGGAUAAUCAAUCUAUACAUUUCUUUUCUGACACACAAUUUAUAGACAUAUCUCCUUAAGCACUGCUCUGCACUUGUUAUAGAACUCUUAAUGUUAUGAAUGUGUAAUAUUAGUCUCACAUCAGAAAUGAAAACCAUCUAUUGCUCAGUCAAUGAAUGGGGCAUGACAUUCUGUGAUUUCCUUAUUUCAGAAAGUAUUCAUUUUUUACCUCCUCCACAGUUUUCUCUUUCUGACAUGAUUUUACGUUCUGGUGAACAGUUUUGACUCAUAGUGGCUCACAAAAGAUAUGCAAAUAGUAGUGCUGGAGGUACAGACAGUGAAUGCUAGUUUUAAAGCAGCUUGAGGCCAUGAGUACAUUUAAGGAAAUAAAGGUGGUUGGUAAAUAUAAAAGGAAAAUGGAUGGUAAAUGUCCAAAGCCAGUUGCUGUCCCCAUGGAGGUCAAGGGAAAAACCUCUCUUUACUGGGAUUUAGAAGCAAGCCACUCCCUCCCAUUCCCAGAAAACAGCAUUUGUAUCUAGGCCUUCUUUGCUUAUGACCCUCUUGCCUCAAAUUGUUGACAUCUAUAACAUGAUGGAACUUACAAAGAACCAACAGUUUGAAUUCCAGCAUUAAUGUUAUCUUUAGAAUAAUGUAAAUAUAUGAUUUGGAAUUCCUGUUGUGGCUCAGUGGAAACGAGCCCGACUAGUAUCCAUGAGGAUGCGGGUUUGAUCCCUGGCCUUGCUCAGUGGGUUAAGGACCCAGCAUUGCCGUGAGCUGUGGUGUAGGUCACAGACAUGGCUUGGAUCUGGCACUGCUGUGUCUGUGGUAGAGAUUGCAGACAUGGCUUGGAUCUGGCAUUGCUGUGACUGUGGUGUAGGCUGGCAGCUGCAGCUCUGAAUCGACCCCUAGUUUGGGAAGUUCCUUAUGCCACAGGUACAGCCCUAAAAAGUAAAUAUAUGAUUAAUUUUUAGCUCUAUAUUUUAGAUGGGUUGGUGAGUUUGUGCUUUGGGUUUUUUUGGUUUGUUUUGUUUUUAAAGAAAAUUUUAGUCUCCUGAAUGUUCAGUUUCCACUGGACAGCCCAGUCCCUUUUUAUGAGGUGGACCCAAAGUGGCCACUGGCCAGGGCACAUCUGAGACAAGCAGAUGUGUCCACGUGGCUUGUUAGAAUAGGGAGCACUGAGGCUGCAUCUCUGGUAAAGUCUGGGACAGUAGAAUGGGUCAUGGUCCUUGUUGUCCCCUUUCCCUGCUGGUCUUGGGGAAGAAGCCCUGUAACUCCUUGGACCAAGAGAAGCAGAAUCCACUUUCCAAACCUGGAGGCUCUCACAAAGAUGCCCCCUAUCUUCCUACCUUUGGUAGGCAGAGACAGUGGGAGUGAGUGGUGGAAGAUUGCAACCCUAAACUCCUCUUCUCUAUCACAUUUCCUUCCCAUCCUUCCACAGGAUUAGAAUAAAUGGGAGGAAAAUGAUAGCUUGCUGGGGUUUACAUACAUCCUUGUGAAUCUAGGUCUCUCUGUUAAGAUCUCGUUAUCCAGAAGGAAGGGAUAUUUUCCUUUUUGUUUUGUUUCCCACCCCACCACCCCAUUUAUGCUAACUCAAUUGGAGAUUUGUGGAAGUCCUUUAAUAUUAUAAAGAACUUCAUAAAACUCACUGUAUCUUCUGAGAUACCUACUCUAAAUUGUGAUCUAUAGCUCGAAGAAUCGGCAGUGGUCACCUGGGACAGUAGGGAAUUAAAAGGAACAGAAGUUGUAAAGUACACUGUCAGGAACCCAACUCCAUGAGAACUGAGGUCUAAGGGCUUGCACAGCUGUGACUCAAGUUGUAUACUCAUUUCCACAGACACUCCUUCCUCCAUAAACUAAGAAUGCCUGGAUCUAUUAGGGACUAAAAACGUAAUAUGAGGACACAGUAGAAUACUGUGGGGGAUGCUUAUUGAAGGAGCAAGUCUUAACUGAUUCAAAGUUUCAGUGAAGGUGAACUUUGACGUCAGGCAAGUGGCUUUAAGUGGUUAGGUAGAAGAGUGUUAAAGGUGAUGUUUCAAGCAUAUUACAAUACAUAGAUGUAUCAAAUUAACAGAUUGUGUACCUUAAAGUCACAUAAUGUCAUAUGUCAAAGGCUGUUCAAUUAAAAAAAAUCUCAGAUUUAUGGUUCAAAGGAUGGAAACAUUUAAAAGUAAGAACUAAGGGUGUGUGUGUGUGGGGGGCGAGGGAGACAUAUAUUCCCUUUCGUAGAUGUAAAUUAUUAUUUCUAGUUAUUGUAAUAAAUAUUUUAUGCAAAUAGAUACCUGUCUAUGGAUGUAACUCAAUAUUUCUAUUUAUUUAAUAAAUUACUUUUAUGCAGCAGGAUCUUCACAUAAACAGUUUAAUUUAAAUGUACUUAGCCUCAAUACCUUAAACACAUAUUUUAAGCAAAGUCCUUUGACAAUGGAAAUUUGGUGAGAUCGCAGCAAACCUGAGCUGCCUUCCUCACCUGCUAACUUAAUAGCAUUUUUGGUCUAUACCAUCUUCCAACACAGAGACUUGUUAUUGCAUACCUGGGGAGAAAAAGGAGCUUCCACAAUCUGGCUUAUUUCUUCAUCCGUGUUUUCCAGUGAUAUUCUCCUAUGUGAUCCCUGCAGUAAAGUUAACUUGAUCUUUCACCUCUCUUCAC